UGGGGUGUGGCUCGGUGGUACAGUGCUUGCCUAGUACAUGUGAGGCCCUGGGUUCCAUUCCCAGCACCAUAA
rnacentral:tRNA from 1 species